GGACUUAUAGCUCAGUUGGUUAGAGCACUUCACUCAUAAUGAAUAGGUCCCUGGUUCGAGUCCAGGUAGGUCCACCU
rnacentral:tRNA from 1 species